GGCUUUGCAGAGCCGGCCAGGGAUGCCUAUAUUGGGGGUGCCGGUUCGCCGGCUAUGGAAAUAAACGACCGUCGCAAUAAACCAUUCGGACCCGGGGGCAGCACCCGGCGCCUCCACCAAAGCCCGCCGCAUUGAUCCGCAGGGAUCACGGGUUUCGGCGGGGGCGAAGCAGGAUCGACGAGGGCGUAAAGGGCGUGUUUUUUCCCGGUAUUGUUCCGCCGUUAUCGGGCUAUGCAAUAGUUGCCAACGACAACUUUGCUCCGGUUGCUCAGGCUGCGUAACGCAGUUUGAAAGACCACUUUAAAGCCCUGACGGGUUAAGCUCCGUCAGGCGGGGUUCGGAGGCACCUGGCAACAGAAGCCUCCACU
rnacentral:tmRNA from 1 species